AAUCUUCAGGGCGGGGUGUGAUUCCCCACCGGCGGUAAAGCCCGCGAGCCUUUUUGGUUGAUUCGGUGAAACUCCGAAGCCGACGGUUAUAGUCCGGAUGAAAGAGGAA
rnacentral:ncRNA from 1 species